UUUUUUAUGAUAUUUAUGAAUAUAAGGUAGGAUCUGCCCACUGAAUAUAUUUGAAGGGGUGCGGUAUUUUAACUGUACUAAGGUAGCAUAAUCAUUUGUUUUUUAAUUGAAAACUGGUAUGAAGGAUUAUACAGGAAAAUGCUUUAUUAAUUAUUAUUUUUGAAUUUAGAAUUUUAGUAAAAAUACUAGAUUUUUAUUGUGGGACGAUAAGACCCUAUUGAGCUUUAAAUAUAUGUGURUGUUUGGUUGACUGUGGAUAUGUACAAUUGUUUUUUACUGGGGUGGUAUAAAUAAACAUUUGUAAGUGAUUAGUAUAUUUUGAUCCAUUAUUAAUGAUAAUAAGAAUGAGUUACUGUAGGGAUAACAGCAUAAUUUUUUUAUAGAGUUCUUAUCGAUAAAUUAGUUUGUGACCUCGAUGUUGAAUCAAUUACCUAUUAGGUGGAGGAGCUUAUUUGUGGUAGACUGUUCGUCUAUUAAAGAGUUACG
rnacentral:rRNA from 1 species